rnacentral:rRNA from 1 species
GAUGAACGCUGGCGGCGUGCCUAAUACGUGCAAGUAGAACGCUGAAGGAAGGAGCUUGCUCUUUCCGGAUGAGUUGCGAACGGGUGAGUAACGCGUAGGUAACCUGCCUGGUAGCGGGGGAUAACUAUUGGAAACGAUAGCUAAUACCGCAUAACAGUAGAUGUUGCAUGAUAUCUACUUAAAAGGUGCCAUUGCACCACUACCAGAUGGACCUGCGUUGUAUUAGCUAGUUGGUGAGGUAACGGCUCACCAAGGCGACGAUACAUAGCCGACCUGAGAGGGUGAUCGGCCACACUGGGACUGAGACACGGCCCAGACUCCUACGGGAGGCAGCAGGAGGGAAUCUUCGGCAAUGGACGGAAGUCUGGCCGAGCAACGCCGCGUGAGUGAAGAAGGUUUUCGGAUCGUAAAGCUCUGUUGUAAGAGAAGAACGAGUGUGAGAGUGGAAAGUUCACACUGUGACGGUAUCUUACCAGAAAGGGACGGCUAACUACGUG